rnacentral:rRNA from 1 species
UACGGGGGGGGCAAGCGUUGUUCGGAAUUACUGGGCGUAGAGGGCUCGUAGGUGGCCAACUAAGUCAGACGUGAAAUCCCUCGGCUUAACCGGGGAACUGCGUCUGAUACUGGAUGGCUUGAGGUUGGGAGAGGGAUGCGGAAUUCCAGGUGUAGCGGUGAAAUGCGUAGAUAUCUGGAGGAACACCGGUGGCGAAGGCGGCAUCCUGGACCAAUUCUGACGCUGAGGAGCGAAAGCCAGGGGAGCAAACGGG